rnacentral:rRNA from 1 species
GCCGCCCUCUUUCUUCGUGCUUAACACAUGCAAGUCGAACGGAAAGGCCUGCUUUCCCUUGUGGAUUGCGGGUACUCGAGUGGCGAACGGGUGAGUAACACGUGAGUGAUCUGCCCCCAACUUGGGUAUAAGCCUGGGAAACUGGGUCUAAUUCCCGAUAGGACUGCAGGGUGGUGCCUGUGGUGGAAAACGAUUUUCUAGUGGUUGGGGAUGAGCUCGCGGCCUAUCAGCUUGUUGGUGGGGUAAUGGCCUACCAAGGCGGCGACGGGUAGCCGGCCUGGGAGGGUGGACGGCCACAGUGGGACUGAGAUACGGCCCAGACUCCUACGGGAGGCAGCAGUGGGGAAUAUUGCACAAUGGGCGGAAGCCUGAUGCAGCGACGCCGCGUGGGGGAUGACGGCCUUCGGGUUGUAAACUCCUUUCGACCGCGAGGAAGCCACCUGGUUGGAAGGGUGGUGACGGUAGUGGUAGAAGAAGCACCGGCUAACUACGUG